AUGUUUAAAAUUUUUAAAUAAUUAUAAAAAAAAAUAAUAUAAGAGUAUUUUGGGAUAGUUAUAAAAGUGUUUUAAAAUAAUUAAAGAAUUAAAUUUAAUAUAAUUAUAAUAGUAUUUUGGAUAAAGUAGUUACGAUUAAGAUCUUAUAUACAUGCCCUGCCGACGCUCGCUUGCAGAUGUCUCCGUCACCAUUGCUCGCGGCCGUCGACUUUUCCGUCGGACGAGUCUCUCCACCGAGCAAGGUCUAUAAUCGACGAGAUUAUGGUUCGGUGUGCAGAUCUGGUACGGCAACAGCUAACUUCCUGAAAUUUUAAAUUUUAAUUUUGUAAUUUUAGGUUUUAUGUGCUUUAUGAGUGUCUUUCUUUCUUCAUGCUGAGUUUAAGAAAUUUUUUGGAUUAUUGCAAUAAUGAUACUUUUGCUUCUUUGCAAUUUACUUUAACACCAAUGAGUUUCGGAGCCAGACUGCAUGACGGUGCUUCCAAUAGUAGGGCGGAAAAUGGAAAAUGAAAAGUGUUAAAAGUGGGAAAAAGGCAGAUCCUAAAACCUCAUAAAUGUUCUGUUUCGUACUUUGUAUCAACUUUAGUGUCAGGCUGUCUACUACCUCAAAAAUUGUAGUUAUUGAGGGAAUGAACCAAUAGCCUCUCUUGUGUUUUGUGACUUUUGUUCGAUGAAUCUGUUUCAUCUGCAAGAUGGUAAGUUGAGGACAUGAUUUUUUUUCUUGAUAAAAGAUGAAAUUUAUAAGAAAAAUUGAGGGCUUGACUUGUGCUCUUUUUUCAGAGCACAAAUAGAGCACAGCA